CUCUUUUGUCACCAACACAAGCACCUGAGUGGAUGCCUUGGAUCAACGGACAGGGAACUUGGGAAUCAGCUUCUUGGGGCAAGAUCACCUCUUCUAUUUGACCCAUAUGGAUAUGGAAAAACCAAGGCCAAGGGAAGAAAAUGGCCUGUCCAAACUUCCUGGGUCAGGCUGGCUUAGUGUGAAUAAGGAAACCAGCGUCUGCACCCUCACAGCUGCACUCCCAGCCCCACCAAGGAAACCCAUCUUACUGUGGCCUGAGUGGUAGCCAUUUGAAGAACCUGACCCUCUGGGACUCAGAAUCAACCCCCGUGAUGACUUGUUUCAUGUCCUAGUUUGGGUAACCAUGUUUCUUCUUUGUUCUGGGACGCACACUCAUUUUUAGUUUUAGCUGAAGUUUCUGAGAGUUCUUAUGGAACUGACCACUACCUAAUUCCUUUAGGAAUGAGCUCUAUUCAACCUUAUUAUUUAGGACUAUUCCUUUGGCAGUGAAUUAAACUCAAUGGAGAUGGGCUUAAACUAGAUACAAGGAGACUUGCAGCAGUCCAGAGCUGUAAAGUCCAACGGUGCUUCCAGGGAGCUGCGUAGCAUUAUUCAGGCUUGGUUUCUUUCUAUCUCUCCUCCACGUUGGCUUUCUAUUUAGGGACUCUCUCUCCUUCUGGUGCCCCCUAAGCCAACCCCUAGUUUCAUCUAGUUGCUGGAACUAACUCAGCAAUAUCAUCAGAAAGAAAGCUUCCUUCCCCCCUCCAAAUUCCAGUGCUUUCUCCAUUGGACCCGAGUGAGAGUCACACUCAUCCCCAGGUAUGUGGGAAUGGGGUAAGUCAACCUCACCUGAACCAUAUGGACUGAGAGAGGAAGAGUAAAUUUUCCUAAGAGAAGUCAUGGAUGCUCGUUAUCAGAAAAAGGGGAGAUAGAGUUUGUGUGGGCAAACCAGCAGAUGCUCAAGAUGUCUCUCCUGCCCUCUCUCACCCUGGUUUGGCAUUCUAUCCCUGACUACCCUUGGCCUGGAGUCCGGCCCUGAAGGCUGCCGACAGACCUCUCCAAAUAUGACUGAUCUUAAACACUUUUAAGGAUUAGCUGUUCACUUUUUCUCCUUCAUAUUGGAGUUCUCCACCCUCCCUCUAACAGAGAUGGUCCACCUGGGUUAUCACCUGCUGUUGCUCUACCUUGUGACUCUUAACCAUGAAUAAUGGACAAGAAAGCCUCCCUGCAUGCUCUGCUAUCUACAGACAAAUGGUAUGAAGAAGGACAGGGGCAAAGUGAGCUGGAGCAGAUGGAAAUCUUCUAGUCUUUAUUUCAGAAAAUUUUAUUUUAAGACAGCAUUGAAUAGUUUGUUUGGUUAUUUUCUCCAGGAACACCAAUUAUACAGUCAUCCAAUGGCUCUGUCUGGUCCCAUGUCCCAUUCCUUCCCCGUUAACCCCAACCUGGGUCAAUAAAUGGGGACGGAUCCAACGGGCAUCAGAUCACGACCAAUGCCCCACAGCAAGUAAAUGGCUCCUCUGGGACUUGCAGCCAGUUCUCUAGGCUCACCUGCCCUUUGCACUAUUCCAAAGAGCCAACGACACUGGAAAAUCAAACAAAGAAAUUAACAUAAAGAAGCUCCGAGUGUGAAUAUGUCAGCCAGCCUACAAUCAGAAGAGAAGAAUCAAAAGCAGAAUCAAGGCUGCUAUUGGGCGUUGUCGUUAUAGAUGGGCACCCUCGUACUGCCAUCUGAGGAGCAAGUUCUUUGACAGGUGGGGGAAGCACUGACUUCAUUAGCUCGUGUGAGAGUGAAGGGGGGAGAUGUCCCUGGGAACUUCUGGCAGCCUUGAGGGAAAAGGAUGGUGACGUUGUGUUUCAUAUUGAACUUGGCAUACAUGGGAGUGAUGGGGGUGUUCAUAGGAGAUCAGAUGGCACUUCCAGUUUGUCUGCAAGAGCCUAAUUACUGACCUGACACCCGUUUCUUCAAAUAGGCCCGGGAAGCAGCUAACUGGUGUAUGGAAGCAUCUGGUAGUGCAAUUACCCUGUCAGCUCUUUAUCCACUUGUAGCCCUGUCAUUAGACACUUCUUUUCCUUGAUAUGCUUAAAAUGUAGAGUUACCAACCAGAGCAAUUUAAAAUGAUAUAUAGUUAUUUUUUUCUCUCCUCUCCUGUCGAGGGAGAACUUCAUAAAUGAUGUCACAAUAAACGGAAUGUGAGAGAAACCUCAGAAAUGAAAUUUGUAAGGAUAGAGACGGCGGGAGGAAGAGAAAGAUCAUGCCAGGGCUCCCGAGUGCUAAUGAAUUAAUGGAGAAGCCAAGUUAAUGAGUGCCGAGGAGGAGCUGUUGUCAGAGGUUUCGAGGUAAUAGUGAAGAGUUAUGGAGCCAGGAGGCAGAGCCUGGAGUGUUCAAAGUGGCCCCCAUGGCUCUAGAAAGGGAAGGUAGAAAAAUUAGGGAGAUAGGUCUCCAGGCUAGGUAAAGAGUCAGGAAGACAAGGAGAAUGCUGAGAACGAUGGGAGUCCUGCAGCCCUGGAGAGAUGUUGAAGGUGGAAGACGGAGAGCCCAUGGGGAGCUUGCACACUAUUAUUUGUAUAGGAAUAGGGAGAAAGAAAUGCAAGUGCAGGAGCAGAGUCUUUCAAGACUGCUCUCAGAUUGCCAUUGCUUUCCUUGGUGUGUCUCUUGCUUCCAUCACUCUUUCUGCAAGAACCCGUUUGGCAUCUACUGCAUGUGAGGUCCUGUGCUGGUGCUGGGAGCGUGACGUUGAAGAGCAAAGCCAAAGUGGUUUCAAGGAGCUUUCAGCCUGGGAAGAGCAGCUGACACUUAUCAACAACCCCUCAUGUGGACAUUAGUUAUGAUGCAGAAUUGUUUUCUUACCUUGGUGCCUUCCAUUGCAUUGCCUUCCUCAUCUCCUAGAUGAUGAAUUUCUCUUGUAAAGUUCUGUCUUGCCUGUGAAAAUAACCCCAAUUGCACAAAGUAGGGGAGAUCAGCCUAAGCCCUGGGUCCUUGGUGGGUGCUGUGCACACCUCCGUGGAAGCACUCCCACAUUCUGUGGCAGUCUUACUGCCCCUUUGUUCAAUGGAGUGGCUUGUCCACACUAAGAGGGGAGGUAAGUCUGAUUCAGCACUGAAAACCCAGCACCAAUAGGGCAAGUGGCAUAAGUGAGAAUUCAAAAACGAUUUAUUGAUUGUAUAAAUUAAUAUCUGAUGUUUAAGGGAGUGAAUUUUCUUUUUCUGAAUUUACUAUGUAUAACCGACCUGAAUGAUAACUGUCUUCUCAUAAAUAAUGGAUAGCAGUCAUUUUAGGGGCUCCACAAAUCUCAGAAUUGAUCACAUUGCUCUUUUUCUGUGGCCUCUAGGAAGCUCAGAGCCUACUUUUAGCAAAAUAUGGAACCAUCUGGCUUGCAUUUUCAGUUACUUACCUAAGCAAUAGUUUUUUUUUCCUUCUUACUAUAGGAUCACACUGAUUUCUUUCCAUGCUAUUCUAUUCUAUAGAAUAGAAUUGAAACCACUUUUGCUAUGCUAUUCUAUUCCAUAGCAUAAACAUGGAAAGAAAGGAGAGUUAAUAGACAUCUUUUAAAGUGAUCUGGUUAUUAGAGUCAUCUGGGUGGCCGUACUCCUUAAGUUGCUUAGUCAUUGACUGCAGAGUCAUAGCAUAUUCAUAAAUGAUAACGUUCCUUCUCUUAUUCUCCCUGAGGGUCUCUUAGGCAAAAUACGGUAUUGUACACAAGCACAUUCAGAUAAAAAAUCCUAUAGUUGGUGAUAACUUCGAGUGAUAGAAUCUUAAUAAACUUCCUGUGUUUGAUUGGGUGAGAUAACUAGAGAUACAUAUCAUGUGUGAUCGCUGCACGACAGAAGAUAAGCUGGUCAUUAUUUUCAGAUAAAAAUGCCCAUCCAUCCACAGAUUGCAAUCAGGGGGCUGCCAUGCAGUUCUUGGUCUAUUCCAGUUAAUUAAAUGCUAAAUGAAAUUCAGAAUUCUGGCUUCUAGAGAUUCAACAAUCUGUUGCCAUGUGCUGCAAAGUCACAGAAUACAGUCCGAGAGCUUUCCUGAGGGGCUAGUAGUUGCUCAAGAAAUACUCAUUCCCUUCUGUUGAGAUCUCCUCUACAAAGCCAAAUGGGGUGAUGUCUGAGCCCUCUUCUUCCUCUGACAGAUGUGAGUGAAAGGUGUUUGCCAGUGGGGUGGGUGAGGGGUCUGGAAAGAACUCUGCGUCCCAUUCUACCUGCUGUGGGGUCAUCAUUCCUGAGCUCCCAUUUUGUGCGCUGAAAACAUGAAGCGUAUUUAGAUGAAAAUGAGAGAAAAAGAUCUAUUAUAACAAUUCUCUAUGUUGGAAUACUGUCCUGAUUUUUCUGUCUCCAGGAAUCAGAAUCAGGCAGUCUCUACUGGGCCUUGAUACCUACCCCUAACUAUAUGUAGUUUUCCGCUGAAAUGAGCACUAGCCAUUAUUACUGAGCACCUAUCAAUGUCAAGUGCUGAGCUAACUAUUUCAAACUCAAGUUCAUCCUCACAACAUCCCUACAUGGAAAGUAUUAUCACCCACAUGAUUCUGAAGCUCAGAAAUGGUAAGCAAGUUGCCUAGGGUCACCCCACUAGCAAGUGGUAGACCUAGGAUUCAUAUGUGUGCCUAUUUAAUUAAUAAUAUUAUUUAAAUAUUAAAUAACAAUUAAACCUACCAUUGGAAUUAUUUAUUCAAUAAAUACAUCAUUGAAUAUCAACUCCAUGCCAGGCACUGUACUAGGGGCUGACGUGAGAACUGUGUAUAGUUUGCAGUACUGGCUGCUGUCAUAUGAUCUAUAAAAAUAC
rnacentral:lncRNA from 1 species